AGACGUAGGGGGCGAGCGUUGUCCGGAAUUACUGGGCGUAAAGGGCGUGUAGGCGGCCUUUCAAGUCGGCUGUGAAAUACCCCGGCUCAACCGGGGGGGUGCAGUCGAAACUGGGGGGCUUGAGUGCAGGAGAGGAGGGUGGAAUUCCCGGUGGAGCGGUGAUAUGCGUAGAUAUCGGGAGGAACACCGGUGGCGAAGGCGACCUUCUGGCCUGUUACUGACGCUGAGGCGCGAAAGCCGGGGGAGCAAACAGGAUUAGAUACCCUGGUAGUCCCGGCCGUAAACGCUGGGUACUAGGUGUAGGGGGCUUUGAUGCCUUCUGUGCCGUAGUUAACGCAUUAAGUACCCCGCCUGGGGAGUACGGCCGCAAGGCUGAA
rnacentral:rRNA from 1 species